rnacentral:rRNA from 1 species
UACAGAGGUGGCAAGCGUUGUUCGGAAUUACUGGGCGUAAAGGGCGAGUAGGCGGCCAUCUAAGUCAGACGUGAAAUCCCCCGGCUUAACCUGGGAACUGCGUCUGAUCCUGGAUGGCUUGAAUCCGGGAGAGGGAUGCAGAAUUCCAGGUGUAGCGGUGAAAUGCGUAGAUAUCUGGAGGAAUACCGGUGGCGAAGGCGGCAUCCUGGACCGGCAUUGACGCUGAGGAGCGAAAGCUAGGGGAGCAAACGGG